AACCAAGCAAGGGAUGAGCCCAAUGGAGAGUAAGCUGAUCGUAGAGCACUCUCUCCCGGUGGUCGAGCUGAUCUACGAGCAACGUUGCGCUAACGCGC